GGUAAUUGUGUAUUAUAAUGAAGCGCCUCGAUUAAUUUACAUUGAAUAGUGAUACAUAUAUUUAUACAAGCCUACAUAGGAUUUUAGACUGGUGCAGACCUAUGAGAUAUUUUGAAUUAUGGUACUAUUACAUGUACAGAGUUGGUGAUAGUCUUUGCAUGUGAAGGAUGUGCAGACUUGUGCAGUGCAUGCCCUGCCUUUGUUGCACGCCAUUCUUGGCUGUAAGCUUGGGAUUGCUCUCCAUGUCUAUUGAACGGUAUCCGGGCAAUUAGCUUGGAAAUGCGAUGAUGAGCCAAAUGCGACAUGCCCUAUCUUUCUUGAGCCAUUGAGAGUGAGCUGGAUUGACUUGGUUGUUGAGCUGAGGGGUUGGACAUUGCUCUGAGCCAUCAACAAAGCUGAACAUGUCAAUAGUGUUGUAGAACUAGGGUGAGCACAUCUUUCCAGAGUAAAUAGUUGUCUUUGGUGAGUUUGAGUGGGAAUCCAAUGGGUUGGGGAAAUCGAGGAUUCGAGGGGUUAGUAUGGACCCAUUGUGAAAGAGGCAUUUGAAGCACGUUUUGGUGGACCAGUGCGUUCAGCCUUUAAUUUUCUAGUUCCUGUUUGCAAUUUUCUUUCCUCAAAAUAGAAUUGUUCACGUUUUGGUCGAACAACUUCAUUAU
rnacentral:lncRNA from 1 species